AACGCUAGCUACAGGCUUAACACAUGCAAGUCGAGGGGCAGCAUUUUAGUUUGCUUGCAAACUGAAGAUGGCGACCGGCGCACGGGUGAGUAACACGUAUCCAACCUGCCGAUAACUCGGGGAUAGCCUUUCGAAAGAAAGAUUAAUAUCCGAUAGUAUAUUAAAACCGCAUGGUUUUACUAUUAAAGAAUUUCGGUUAUCGAUGGGGAUGCGUUCCAUUAGUUUGUUGGCGGGGUAACGGCCCACCAAGACUACGAUGGAUAGGGGUUCUGAGAGGAAGGUCCCCCACAUUGGAACUGAGACACGGUCCAAACUCCUACGGGAGGCAGCAGUGAGGAAUAUUGGUCAAUGGACGAGAGUCUGAACCAGCCAAGUAGCGUGAAGGAUGACUGCCCUAUGGGUUGUAAACUUCUUUUAUAUGGGAAUAAAGUAUUCCACGUGUGGGAUUUUGUAUGUACCAUAUGAAUAAGGAUCGGCUAACUCCGUGCCAGCAGCCGCGGUAAUACGGAGGAUCCGAGCGUUAUCCGGAUUUAUUGGGUUUAAAGGGAGCGUAGGUGGAUUGUUAAGUCAGUUGUGAAAGUUUGCGGCUCAACCGUAAAAUUGCAGUUGAAACUGGCAGUCUUGAGUACAGUAGAGGUGGGCGGAAUUCGUGGUGUAGCGGUGAAAUGCUUAGAUAUCACGAAGAACUCCGAUUGCGAAGGCAGCUCACUAGACUGCAACUGACACUGAUGCUCGAAAGUGUGGGUAUCAAACAGGAUUAGAUACCCUGGUAGUCCACACAGUAAACGAUGAAUACUCGCUGUUUGCGAUAUACAGUAAGCGGCCAAGCGAAAGCAUUAAGUAUUCCACCUGGGGAGUACGCCGGCAACGGUGAAACUCAAAGGAAUUGACGGGGGCCCGCACAAGCGGAGGAACAUGUGGUUUAAUUCGAUGAUACGCGAGGAACCUUACCCGGGCUUAAAUUGCAUUUGAAUAAUCUGGAAACAGGUUAGCCGCAAGGCAAAUGUGAAGGUGCUGCAUGGUUGUCGUCAGCUCGUGCCGUGAGGUGUCGGCUUAAGUGCCAUAACGAGCGCAACCCUUAUCUUUAGUUACUAACGGGUUAUGCUGAGGACUCUAGAGAGACUGCCGUCGUAAGAUGUGAGGAAGGUGGGGAUGACGUCAAAUCAGCACGGCCCUUACGUCCGGGGCUACACACGUGUUACAAUGGGGGGUACAGAAGGCAGCUACCUGGUGACAGGAUGCUAAUCCCAAAAACCUCUCUCAGUUCGGAUCGAAGUCUGCAACCCGACUUCGUGAAGCUGGAUUCGCUAGUAAUCGCGCAUCAGCCAUGGCGCGGUGAAUACGUUCCCGGGCCUUGUACACACCGCCCGUCAAGCCAUGAAAGCCGGGGGUACCUGAAGUACGUAACCGCAAGGAGCGUCCUAGGGUAAAACUGGUAAUUG
rnacentral:rRNA from 1 species